GGCUCGAUGGCGGACGGUCCGCAUCCGCACUGCAUACUGGCAAGUACAUACUGCGGAAACCCCCGUUCGACUCGGGGUCGAGCCA